rnacentral:snRNA from 1 species
UGGAUAUUGUUGCUUCAAGAGUU